UACGUAGGGAGCGAGCGUUGUCCGGAUUCAUUGGGCGUAAAGAGCUCGUAGGCGGCUUGAUAAGUCGGAUGUGAAACCCUCAGGCUUAACCUGGGGCCGCCAUCUGAUACUGCUAUGGCUAGAGUCCGGUAGGGGAUCGUGGAAUUCCUGGAGUAGCGGUGAAAUGCACAGAUCUCAGGAGGAACACCAGUGGCGAAGGCGGCGAUCUGGGCCGGUACUGACGCUGAGGAGCGAAAGCGUGGGGAGCAAACAGG
rnacentral:rRNA from 1 species